CUCCGCUUGGUGUAGUUGGUUUAUCACGUUCGGCUGUAAAAGCAAUUGUAACCGAAAGGUCCCUAGUUCGAUUCUGGGAGCGGAGA